GACAAGGCGCUGAAGGGGAAUAGUAGGCACCAGCUGAGAAAUACAGAGAUCCGGAACAUGGUGAGAACCGGACAGUAGGCUGUGCUGAACCCACCCCGGAGCCUCUGUCGAAGCGUCUUAUGGACGAUAAGGCAGUACGCUGCCCCCGUUAAAGGGCUGAUCAGCGUUUGCUGGUCACUGAGGUGGGAGUUUCAAGCUCCAAUCGAGGUGGUACCGCGGGAAGUUAUAGAACCCGUCCUCGAA
rnacentral:ncRNA from 1 species